GGUCCGUUGGCCUAGUGGUUAGAGCGUCCACCUCUAAUGCCCGAGGUCGCGGAUUCGAACUCCGGCUGAAUCA